UUAAAUUGAAGAGUUUGAUCAUGGCUCAGAUUGAACGCUGGCGGCAGGCCUAACACAUGCAAGUCGAACGGUAACAGAAAGCAGCUUGCUGCUUUGCUGACGAGUGGCGGACGGGUGAGUAAUGUCUGGGAAACUGCCUGAUGGAGGGGGAUAACUACUGGAAACGGUAGCUAAUACCGCAUAACGUCGCAAGACCAAAGAGGGGGACCUUCGGGCCUCUUGCCAUCGGAUGUGCCCAGAU
rnacentral:rRNA from 1 species